rnacentral:rRNA from 1 species
AGCGUACACGGUGGAUGCCCUGGCAGUCAGAGGCGAUGAAGGACGUGCUAAUCUGCGAAAAGCGCCGGCGAGGUGAUAUGAACCUUUGACCCGGCGAUGUCCGAAUGGGGAAACCCAGUGUGAUUCGUCACACUAUCGUUAACUGAAUACAUAGGUUAACGAGGCGAACCGGGGGAACUGAAACAUCUAAGUACCCCGAGGAAAAGAAAUCAACCGAGAUUCCCCCAGUAGCGGCGAGCGAACGGGGAGCAGCCCAGAGUCUGAAUCAGCUUGUGUGUUAGUGGAAGCGUCUGGAAAGUCGCACGGUACAGGGUGACAGUCCCGUACACGAAAGCACACAGGUUGUGAACUCGAAGAGUAGGGCGGGACACGUGGUAUCCUGUCUGAAUAUGGGGGGACCAUCCUCCAAGGCUAAAUACUCCUGACUGACCGAUAGUGAACCAGUACCGUGAGGGAAAGGCGAAAAGAACCCCGGCGAGGGGAGUGAAAAAGAACCUGAAACCGUGUACGUACAAGCAGUGGGAGCACCUUCGUGGUGUGACUGCGUACCUUUUGUAUAAUGGGUCAGCGACUUAUAUUCUGUAGCAAGGUUAACCGUAUAGGGGAGCCGAAGGGAAACCGAGUCUUAACUGGGCGUUAAGUUGCAGGGUAUAGACCCGAAACCCGGUGAUCUAGCCAUGGGCAGGUUGAAGGUUGGGUAACACUAACUGGAGGACCGAACCGACUAAUGUUGAAAAAUUAGCGGAUGACUUGUGGCUGGGGGUGAAAGGCCAAUCAAACCGGGAGAUAGCUGGUUCUCCCCGAAAGCUAUUUAGGUAGCGCCUCGUGAACUCAUCUUCGGGGGUAGAGCACUGUUUCGGCUAGGGGGCCAUCCCGGCUUACCAACCCGAUGCAAACUACGAAUACCGAAGAAUGUUAUCACGGGAGACACACGGCGGGUGCUAACGUCCGUCGUGAAGAGGGAAACAACCCAGACCGCCAGCUAAGGUCCCAAAGUCAUGGUUAAGUGGGAAACGAUGUGGGAAGGCACAGACAGCCAGGAUGUUGGCUUAGAAGCAGCCAUCAUUUAAAGAAAGCGUAAUAGCUCACUGGUCGAGUCGGCCUGCGCGGAAGAUGUAACGGGGCUAAACCAUGCACCGAAGCUGCGGCAGCGACACUAUGUGUUGUUGGGUAGGGGAGCGUUCUGUAAGCCGUUGAAGGUGGCCUGUGAGGGUUGCUGGAGGUAUCAGAAGUGCGAAUGCUGACAUAAGUAACGAUAAAGCGGGUGAAAAGCCCGCUCGCCGGAAGACCAAGGGUUCCUGUCCAACGUUAAUCGGGGCAGGGUGAGUCGACCCCUAAGGCGAGGCCGAAAGGCGUAGUCGAUGGGAAACAGGUUAAUAUUCCUGUACUUGGUGUUACUGCGAAGGGGGGACGGAGAAGGCUAUGUUAGCCGGGCGACGGUUGUCCCGGUUUAAGCAUGUAGGCGGAAUGAUUAGGUAAAUCCGGUCGUUUUUUAACGCUGAGGUGUGAUGACGAGGCACUACGGUGCUGAAGUAACAAAUGCCCUGCUUCCAGGAAAAGCCUCUAAGCAUCAGGUAACAUCAAAUCGUACCCCAAACCGACACAGGUGGUCAGGUAGAGAAUACCAAGGCGCUUGAGAGAACUCGGGUGAAGGAACUAGGCAAAAUGGUGCCGUAACUUCGGGAGAAGGCACGCUGAUAUGUAGGUGAAGCCCCUGCGGGUGGAGCUGAAAUCAGUCGAAGAUACCAGCUGGCUGCAACUGUUUAUUAAAAACACAGCACUGUGCAAACACGAAAGUGGACGUAUACGGUGUGACGCCUGCCCGGUGCCGGAAGGUUAAUUGAUGGGGUUAGCGGUAACGCGAAGCUCUUGAUCGAAGCCCCGGUAAACGGCGGCCGUAACUAUAACGGUCCUAAGGUAGCGAAAUUCCUUGUCGGGUAAGUUCCGACCUGCACGAAUGGCGUAAUGAUGGCCAGGCUGUCUCCACCCGAGACUCAGUGAAAUUGAACUCGCUGUGAAGAUGCAGUGUACCCGCGGCAAGACGGAAAGACCCCGUGAACCUUUACUAUAGCUUGACACUGAACACUGGUCCUUGAUGUGUAGGAUAGGUGGGAGGCUUUGAAGCGUGGACGCCAGUCUGCGUGGAGCCGUCCUUGAAAUACCACCCUUUAAUGGCUGGUGUUCUAACGUAGACCCGUAAUCCGGGUUGCGGACAGUGUCUGGUGGGUAGUUUGACUGGGGCGGUCUCCUCCCAAAGAGUAACGGAGGAGCACGAAGGUUAGCUAAUCCUGGUCGGACAUCAGGAGGUUAGUGCAAUGGCAUAAGCUAGCUUGACUGCGAGAGUGACGGCUCGAGCAGGUGCGAAAGCAGGUCAUAGUGAUCCGGUGGUUCUGAAUGGAAGGGCCAUCGCUCAACGGAUAAAAGGUACUCCGGGGAUAACAGGCUGAUACCGCCCAAGAGUUCAUAUCGACGGCGGUGUUUGGCACCUCGAUGUCGGCUCAUCACAUCCUGGGGCUGAAGUAGGUCCCAAGGGUAUGGCUGUUCGCCAUUUAAAGUGGUACGCGAGCUGGGUUUAGAACGUCGUGAGACAGUUCGGUCCCUAUCUGCCGUGGGCGCUGGAGAAUUGAGGGGGGCUGCUCCUAGUACGAGAGGACCGGAGUGGACGCAUCACUGGUGUUCGGGUUGUCAUGCCAAUGGCACUGCCCGGUAGCUAAAUGCGGAAAAGAUAAGUGCUGAAAGCAUCUAAGCACGAAACUUGCCCCGAGAUGAGUUCUCCCUGACUCCUUGA